ACCUACUGAUUCUUUUGAAAUGAGUAAUCUUAAGGAACAUACGAUCAUUUUUCUCAAAUUUCAAAUCCCUCCUAUAGGUAUCCACAUAACUCUUCUGUCUGCUUUUAGUCGUCUAAAUCUUCUUCUUGAUCUUAACUAUUUUGGCUGUAGUCUCCUCUAUAAGAUCUGAGUCGAACAAUCUUCUAUCACCCACUUCUUUCUAAUAGAUCGGCAAUCUGCAUGGGCGGCUAUACAAUACCUCGUACGGAGCUGUGCCAAUACUUACUUGGUAGCUAUUAUUAUAGGUGAACUCUAUCAGGGAUAAAUGAUCGUCCCAAUGG
rnacentral:lncRNA from 1 species